rnacentral:rRNA from 1 species
AACGAACGCUGGCGGCAUGCCUAACACAUGCAAGUCGAACGAGACCUUCGGGUCUAGUGGCGCACGGGUGCGUAACGCGUGGGAACCUGCCUUUAGGUUCGGAAUAACUCAGAGAAAUUUGAGCUAAUACCGGAUGAUGUCUUCGGACCAAAGAUUUAUCGCCUUUAGAUGGGCCCGCGUAAGAUUAGCUAGUUGGUGGGUAAAGGCCUACCAAGGCGACGAUCUUUAGCUGGUCUGAGAGGAUGAUCAGCCACACUGGGACUGAGACACGGCCCAGACUCCUACGGGAGGCAGCAGUGGGGAAUAUUGGACAAUGGGCGAAAGCCUGAUCCAGCAAUGCCGCGUGAGUGAUGAAGGCCUUAGGUUGUAAAGCUCUUUUACCCGAGAUGAU